CGGCAACAGCUCAAAUUUGAAAUCUGCCCGCAAGGGCCGAGUUGUAAUUUGUAGAGGAUGCUUUUGGUGCGGUGCCUUCCGAGUUCCCUGGAACGGGACGCCUUAGAGGGUGAGAGCCCCGUACGGUUGGACGCCUAGCCUCUGUAAAGCUCCUUCGAC
rnacentral:rRNA from 1 species